CCUAACAUGUAUAUAUGUCUUAAUCGCCCUCUGUAUUUGGCUGAAACCCUAAUAUUUUGAGCCAAAACUCUCUCUUACAUUCUCAUUUUUGCUACAAUUUUUCUCCAAAUCGUACUAGUUUAAACAUUUUGUGGGUUUUGAUUCCUAGACUUCUUUAACUCAGAUUUUGCGACGGUUACGUACAUUGAACACACCCAUUGGAUACAUGUAAAUAACGACUAUAUGACACGUUUUAACAAGUUAACCUUAAAUUACCAAACAAGUCAUGAUCAAGCUCGUAACACGGAUAUGCGACAUGAGAUUUUAUUUAUUUAUUUAUUUAUUUUUUUAUCUGUGAUUAUGAUCUAAAAUGCUCGAGACUUGAGAAAUUUUAUAAAUUAAUUGUAUUUAUUGUAGCACGAAAAUUAAUGAUGUUGGUGAUUAGAUUUAUCUUGUCUUUUAGCAUAUUGCAUCUGAAUCCGAAUUGAUGGAAAUAGUUGAUUGAAAAGAUAAACAAGAGAAAAAGUCUAUUUUCUUUAGACUCCCUAGAACACCUGAUCAACAUGUGCAAUCACUAUAUACAUAUCGAAAAAGCUUGAAUUAUUAAAUAUUGUACAAUUAAGAAUAAGAAAAAACAGCUAAGCAAUUGAACAGAUUUUUUAAUUAUGGAAAAACAAUUAUCGAGUAAUUAUGGAAAAAGAAUCGGGUCCAAAUAAAUGAAUUGACAGCUUAAAUGAAAGAUUUUGUUACUAUAAUUAAAAACAGAAAAUAUGAAAAGUAAUUUUAAAUGGAAAUCACAAUGACAAAUAAUUAUAAUUUUGGUAGAUAGUGUUUGUCUAUAUAAUAUACUUAUCUUGAUUGAGCUUGAAACAGAAUCAUCAAAUAUUUACUUUUUUUUUUGUCCCAUUUAUAUAAGUUGACUUACCUU
rnacentral:lncRNA from 1 species